GCAUAUCAAUAAGCGGAGGAAAAGAAAGCAACAGCGAUAGCCUCAGUAACGGCGAGUGAAGCGGCUACAGCUCAAAUUUGAAAUCUGGCCUCCUUUGGUGGUCCGAGUUGUAAUUUGCAGAGGAUGCUUUGGCAUUGGCGGCGGUCUAAGUUCCUUGGAACAGGACAUCGCAGAGGGUGAGAAUCCCGUACGUGGGCGCCUGCCUUUGCCGUGUAAAGCUCCUUCGACGAGUCGAGUUGUUUGGGAAUGCAGCUCUAAAUGGGAGGUAAAUUUCUCCUAAAGCUAAAUACCGGCCAGAGACCGAUAGCGCACAAGUAGAGUGAUCGAAAGAUGAAAAGUACUUUGGAAAGAGAGUCAAAUAGCACGUGAAAUUGUUGAAAGGGAAGCGCUUGCAGCCAGACUUGCCCGCAGUUGCUCACCUAGGCUUUUGCCUGGGGCACUCUUCUGCGGGCAGGCCAGCAUCAGUUUGGGCGGUCGGAUAAAGGUCUCUGUCAUGUACCACCCUUCGGGGUGGCCUUAUAGGGGAGACGCAAUGCGACCAGCCCGGACUGAGGUCCGCGCAUCUGCUAGGAUGCUGGCGUAAUGGCUGUAAGCGGCCCGUCUUGAAACACGGACCAAGGAGUCUAACAUCUAUGCGAGUGUUUGGGUGUCAAGCCCGGGCGCGUAAUGAAAGUGAACGGAGGUGGGAACCUUUCGGGGUGCACCAUCGACCGAUCCUGAUGUCUUCGGAUGGAUUUGAGUAAGAGCAUAGCUGUUGGGACCCGAAAGAUGGUGAACUAUGCUUGAAUAGGGUGAAGCCAGAGGAAACUCUGGUGGAGGCUCGCAGCGGUUCUGACGUGCAAAUCGAUCGUCAAAUUUGGGCAUAGGGGCGAAAGACUAAUCGACCAUCUAGUAGCUGGGUUCUGCGA
rnacentral:rRNA from 1 species